rnacentral:rRNA from 1 species
AACGAACGCUGGCGGCAUGCCUAACACAUGCAAGUCGAACGAGACCUUCGGGUCUAGUGGCGCACGGGUGCGUAACGCGUGGGAACCUGCCCUUAGGUUCGGAAUACCUCCCCGUAAGGGGUGCUAAUACCGGAUAAUUUCUUCGGACCAAAGAUUUAUCGCCUUUGGAUGGGCCCGCGUUGGUUUAGCCGGUGGGGAGGGUAAAAGCCUAUCAGGGCGAGGAUCCAUAGCUGGUCUGAGAGGAAGAUCAGCCACACUGGGACUGAGACACGGCCCAGAAUCCUACGGGAGGGAGCAGAGGGGAAUAUUGGACGAUGGGGGAAAGCCUGAUCCAGCAAUGCCGCGUGAGUGAUGAAGGCCGUAGGGUUGUAAAGCUCUUUUACCCGGGAUGAUAAUGACGGUACCGGGAGAAUAAGCUCCGGCUAACUCCGUG